CUAAUUUUAUCGCGAUAAAUACUGUAUCGUGAUAAUAAUCGCCGAUAUCCAAUUUCUCUUCUAAAUACAAUUCUGCAUUGGGGAUUAAGCUUAAAAGUUUUUUUUGAUCUUCCGAUGUUACGUCUUGGAUGGACGAAAAUAUAGAAAAGAAGAAUUUAACCGUAAGCUGCUAAUACGGUCAGGUCAAGGACUAAACCUUCUACUUCAACUUUGCAGACCCUUUCGUUUGUGGUACAAAAAUUCGGGAUUGAGAGUAAAUAAAUUUUUGCUUCUGGAAGAAUGGCUGCUGCGUGGAAACCGUCCGCUUCUUCGAUGUAUACUAUAGUCACUAUAUCGGUUCUGACUUACAGUUGCUGCCAAGAUUUCCAAAAACAAUGAAGGAUAUUAUCGUGUUGACCGGGAGGGUAAGAGCUUGCGGCUGAACGAGUUGAAUAAUGGACGAAGACUGGUUACCGGGUCGCUGCUCUCCAAAUCGAUCGACUCCCAGUUGGUGUUGUUGCUCAUGUGCGCCGCUUAAGCUUGCCGCCUUCGCGCGAUGGCACUGCCCGUGGACAAAGGUGGCGUGAUGCAGUAUAAGCAUUACUCCGUUACCUAUUCUGAGAAUUGCAGCCGGUCGACGCUUAUCAACGGAUGUUGUUCUCAGAAUUCUUAGUCUCUGGAAUGCGAUUAUCACCGGAUGCAGUUCCAGGAUUCCUUAGCCCCCCAGGUGCGGUUAUCGCCGGAUGUAGCCUGGCCAUUCACGAUAAGAAUGUCUCGAACUUGUCACUUUGCCUUUAUUAUUUUAUAUCUG